UACGUAGGGUGCAAGCGUUGUCCGGAAUUAUUGGGCGUAAAGAGCUCGUAGGCGGCCUGUCGCGUCGGCUGUGAAAACCCGGGGCUCAACCCCGGGCCUGCAGUCGAUACGGGCAGGCUAGAGUCCGGUAGGGGAGACUGGAAUUCCUGGUGUAGCGGUGAAAUGCGUAGAUAUCAGGAGGAACACCGGUGGCGAAGGCGGCUUGCUGGGCCAGUUCUGACGCUGAGGAGCGAAAGCGUGGGGAGCGAACAGG
rnacentral:rRNA from 1 species